rnacentral:lncRNA from 1 species
AUAAAUGGCGGAGACUUUUCCCUAAAUGGGUUACUUGAUUUAAGAGCUGCUGGCUAAUUUUGGUCGGAUAAUUUAAUAGAAGAGGGAAGAGGAAAGGAAAGAAAGGGGCUUGAAGAAAGAGGAAGAGAAAAGAAACACAAGGAUGGAGAACAAGGAGAGACCAUUUGUUCUCAAACAGUAGCUGCCACUUCUAGCUGGGAGAGAAAUGAGAGCUCUGCUCAUGGUGAUCCAGUAUCUCCAGAAUCCAUCACCACUGCUGACCUCCCACUCCAUGUCUCCAAGUGCUCUGCUAUACCUGCCACCAGCAGCUGCCACCUCCAGACUUUGGAAGGUUAUAAUAAAACCUCUGUUCUACGAUCUGCCUUCUGCUUCAACAUCCUCACUCCCCACAAACAAUUCUAAUAAACAGCAAUUAAUCUGAA